rnacentral:rRNA from 1 species
CACGUAAGCCCCGAGCGUUGUUCGGAAUUAUUGGGCGUAAAGGGCAUGUAGGCGGUUUUGCAAGUCUGGUGUGAAAGGCAGGAGCUCAACUCCUGGACUGCGCUGGAAACUGCAUGACUUGAGUUUCUGAGGGGCACUCGGAAUUCCUGGUGUAGGGGUGAAAUCUGUAGAUAUCAGGAAGAACACCGGUGGCGAAGGCGGGGUGCCAGCAGAAGACUGACGCUGAGGUGCGAAGGUGCGGGGAGCAAAC